UAAAUUAAGUUUUGUGAAUGUGAAUUGUUUGGUUGAACGUACGUACCCGCCGAGUCCCAUGGAGAUGGCGCCGGCGGCGACUUCCGCUAUGCCAGCGGUGAGAACGAUGGAGGAGGUGGCAUUGGCGCCGGAGAGGCCGGCGGCAAGGGCGAAGGGGACGGUGAGGCCGUCGGAAACGCCGAUGAUGAUGUCGCGGACUAUUUCGCCGGCGGUGAAGUGCUUCUCGGUGUGUUGGCUGAGAAGGCUCUUUCUCUCAGGUUCGACGCUUAUUCCGUGUUCGGCAGCGGCCAUUGGUGCAAUCUUGUGAGUGUGUUCGAGCUGGCGAAUGUGCUACUGAAUCCAAACAAAGCCUUGCUGCUUUGCACAUACUUGAUUGUGAAUAGGACAAAAUAUCCAAGCCGUGGAUGAUAUCCACGUGGAAAAUAUCAACGGAUCAACAUUUGAAUAUUUGUCUUUAUUUUUUUCUAUAUUUUUAUUUGUUAUUCAUUUUUAUCACUAUUGUUUUUAUUUUUUUAUACAUUUAUCAAAAUUUAAUAUAUUAAAAGUUAAAAGAUGAAAAAUGUUAAUUUUUUUAAUUUCAUUUAGGUGAUAUAUUAUAAUUUUUAUUAGUUUAUUAAAAUGAGAUUUCAUUAUGAUUUAAAAAAUAAAAGUAAGUAGACAUAUAGAAUAUUUUUAAAUUUGAAUAUCUCUUUUUUUGGUAAUAUUUUAAGUUUUAUCAAUUUUGUUUGAUUAAGUUUUGUAAAUAUAAUAAAUGUCUUGGUUAUCUUGAAAUUUAUUUAAUAAUUUAAUUUAAAUUUGAAAUAUAUAUAUAAUUAUAAUCAUUUUAUAAAUAUUUAGUAUUGAAGAAAUGACAAUAUAAAAAUAAAUUUUUCCCGAAACUCAUCCCGUUGAGCCGUUAGCAUCCUUAAACACUACCACCGUCACAUUAUUUCUAAACUGAUCUUUUAAUUAUUUAAAAAUAUUAUAACCAUCAAACCUUCCAAAAAAGAAAAAAGGUAGAAUUUAUACUAUUCUACAAAAUUUUACAAGUGGUUAAUGUUCUUUACUCCAUGAAUAAUGCUUAAGUAUUUAAUAUCGUUAUAUUUAGUUUUUAAUAAAAAAGAAAUAUUCAUAUGUAGUCCCUAAAUGGAUAUAUUUUACUAAUCUCAAAACCAAGAAAUUUCCAAUACCUAACUAAACCACUUAACAUAAUUUGUAUCACUUAAAAACAAACUUACGUCCACAUCAAACUAUAUGUAAUAAUAACUUAGAAAUCUUGUCAGCUACCUUUGAAAAUGUAAAUAAAAGAAAAUAAAUUAAAAAUGAGAAAUUGAUAAUAAAAGUUUAACGUUUUGAAACUUGUAAUUAACAAGUAUUGGUUAUAAGCCACAAUCACCAACGGAAUACCAAUCAGCCUACUAAGUACCUUUCUGCCUUCCUCUUCCUAUCUUCCUUUGUUUAGCUUGAAGACUAUGCAACAUUGCUUCCGCUGCUAUAAAGAGGGCACAUUCCGCAUUCUUUUAUUGUCAUUAUUGAGCGAUAAUCUGGCAGCAGAAAGUUGCAAGCCUUUGGACUGAUCUCAAAAGUGAAGCUGCGAGCAUCACUGAGCCUCCUAAGGUUCAUGCCGCUCCUCCUUACGCUCUCCAAGUUAAAUUUCCACAUAAAUGUGUGAUCUUUAUCAAGGACUCUGUAACUAUAACCCCAUCUGAAAUAGUUGAUUAACUCAUCAUUAUUUGGAAUUAUCUGUGUGCCAUCAUCAUCACAUUCAAAUUUUAGGCUGUAACCAAAAUAUAAGAAUCUGUCUUUAAUAGCAUUCGUAUCUAACACUCCAAAAACAAUACACAAAGCGAAACCAAUGAGCCUAUCAUCGCUGCAAAAACUUAAAUCUUCAUUUGUAGUCACUGAACUUCCCUUACCACGAAAGGGGAACCAAUGAGGAACUGCAGUCCCUGGAAAACAGAAGAACACGGACCUACACGCAUCGUGGGUCAUCCUGAGCCUUGCAUCCUCCUCAAUGUUAGCACGAGCAUUUGAAUCCAGUUGUUGGGCAUUGGUGAAAUGAAAUUUGAAGACACCCUCCUUUGAAUCUGAGAGGUUUUGAUUUGACAUCACUCUUCUAAUUGAUGUGCAGUCCAAUGCCACCAGUUGUUUUAGAAAAGGUGGAAUCUGUGGGAUGCAUUCAAGAUUUUUACAGCCACUUAAAUCAAGUGAUUUCAAGCUUGAAAGAUGAGCAAUGCUUUCAGGAAGGUUCACGAUUCCGCUCUCACUCAGUGACAGUUCCAUUAAUGACGACAUGCUACCAAUGUGUGCUGGGAUUUCUUUUAAUUUGGCACACUCCGAACAAUCAAGUUUACAGAGAAGCUUAAGAUUAACAAUGGAGUUUGGAAGUGACUCGAGAUCAGUGCACCUGUUGAGCUGUAGGGAUCGAAGCUUAGCCAAAUUGUCAAAUGAGGAAGGCAGUUCUUUAACAGCCGUAUGUGUUAAGUUAAUGUGAGCAAGAGUUUGUGCCGGCUCCGUGAUCUCUGGGAAGGUUCUCAAGUUAAAGCAUCCACACAAAUCAAGUUUCCUCAACUUCAAUUUGAAAAUGGUGCUUGGAAAAGUUUGAAGUGAUUCACAGAAGGUAAGGUCUAACUUGCAUAGUCUGGUGAGGCUUCCAAUGGAAGAUGGAAUAAUCUCAAGAUUCUUGCAACCUCGCAAACUCAGUUGUUCAAGCCCUACCAAACGCCACAAGGAUGAAGGCAGUGCCUGUAUGGCUGUGCCGUCUAAGAUUAGAACCGCUAAAUUUUCCAUAGUGUUCUCAAUCUCAGGGAAAUUUUGCAAUUUUGAGCAAUCUCUGAGACAAAGUUUGUUUAGGAAUUUAAUCUGAGAAAGGUCAAAUGGAAAUAUUGUAAGGGAAGAACAGUUUGAGAGAUCUAUGAAACAGAUCUUAUUAGUCACUUCUUUUUCUUCAUCUGAUUCCCAAUAUCGGUCAAAAGUAAUGGAGGAAAUUUCAGUGACAUUGUAUCUGAAGAGAUUUUCAGGAAAAAGAAUGCGCGGUGGUCCUAAGAAAUUUCGACGUUGAGGCCUCGGUUUGACAUGAGGGAAUAUUGGACCGAUUAAUGAUGACGAUGGUGGAGCAUAACAUAUUUGGGUUUGACUGAUUGAAAACAUUUCAAGCUUGCCACACCAGGAAAGAUUAAUGCAUCCUGGUGGUGAUCUGGAUAGAAUAUUGCUGGGAACAAUUGCACUAUUGAGAUUAUGACAGUCAUCUAAACGUAAAGAAGUGAGCUUGGUGAGUAAUAUGGAAGAGUGAACUUUAAUCAACUUUGGACAAUCAUUCAGAAUUAUUUCUUCAAUAUUUGGUGACAGGGAAAGGUCUUGUAUUCUACUAAGUUUAUCAGAAUAACUCAGGUCGAGCCUUUUCAACUUCGGUAAACUCUGCCACAAAAAGGAAAUGAAUCAGGUAAUAAAAAAAAAAAAACUAAAAUGAAGCUUAUUUAUUUUUCUUCAAUAAACUCCUACUUACAUUACCUGUUUUUUACCUUGAACAAACAAAAUUAUAGUGGUUAUAAAUUUGAUAGUUAUUAUAAAAAUUCACAAAAUUUAACAUGAUUUUGUUUCCUAUCCAAAAUUACAUCCUAAUAAUUUCAACCUUAUGAAAGUAAUUUAUAAUAGAUGACAAUGUGAAAAUACUUUAUAUUAUGCAUGUAUCACAUAUUUACCUUUAUUUAUAUUCUCUUGUCUCUCUUUUUCUUUCUAAUAAAAAUAUAUUGUAAAAAUUUAAAUGAGAACGACAUUAAUUACUCUUAUAAAAAUAAACUGACAAAGUGAGUUAAAAUUGAACCUUAGAUAGGUUGUAUGUUAAUGUUAAGUGAUGCAGACAAUGUAUAAAUCCAUCUUUCCGUGAUUUAUUAAAUAAAUAAUUUAUUAUAGGUUAUAUUGAAGUUAUAUUAUAAUAAAAGAAUUAGAUUAAUUAAUUUAAGUCUUUAAUAAAUUUAAAUUUAUUUAAUUAACUGAGUAUUCAAUUUUUUUUUAUAUUUUCUGAUUAAGAUAUUAAAUUUAUAUAUUUCACUUGUUUAAUUUUUCAAUUAAUUAUAUGAUAUAUGAAUGUUAUUUUGCUUAUUUGUCAACAUAUUAAUAAAUAAAAUUAAUAAAAAUUUCAAUAAAAUAUUUAAAUUUAUAAUACCACUUAAACUUCAAGGAUAAUGCCCAUAAAUGAAAAAUAAAUAAAUUCAUAUUAGAUAUUAAAACAUAUAUUUUAAUCCAAAAUUUUGAAAUAAUAGGUUUGUGAGUUCUUAUAUGUUCUCUAUCUUAUUCAUUUCUACAAUAUAAGAUUUUUAACUUAUCUUAAAUUUCUAAUCAAUGAAACAAUGUGCUUUAUUUUUCAAGAACUUAGUAGAUAUUACAAAAAAGAGCAUUAUUAAAUUGUUAGAGAGAGAGAAGAAGAGGUCGAUGUCUCUCUCCUUUAGAACAAAAAGUUUAUCGAGCAAGAUGUCACUCAAGUUAUGUGAUCAUUGAAGUAAAGAAAUCUUUCUUUUGGAUUAGGAAACAAGGUCAUUCUUUGAGGCUGAUGAUGACUAUAAGAUGCAUGAAUAUGUAUACACUUUUGUAUGAUAUACAUGAUGUUAUAUAUUGUAUGUGAUUCCAUUGAUGAUCGUUAUGAGUGUGACCUUAAGUGCAUUUUGUCCUUUUAUGGGUAUGUUUUGACCAUUUUAUGAGCAUGUGGUGAGGGAAAUCUAAAGUUAUAUUAUGACCGAAAUAUUAAAUACAAAACUUAUUAUAGAAAAAAAAAUUAUGCAUCAAUGGUGAUAUAAUCACACAAAUUAAAGUAUGAAGUGGUGAGAGGUUGAAGAAGGUUUGGCUAUGAAGUUAUCAUCUACAUAUUUGAUUUAUAAUUAUCUUUAGAAGCAUGCUAAAUAUGAUUGUAAUGAUAUAUGCAUAAUUGAGUGGGUCUAAUAAAAGAAGUAUCAAAACAAAUAAUGUAGAGUAGGCACAAAGUAACAAAAAGGAAUAUAGAUAACUUGAAAAACCUGAUCUUCUUCCCAAAGUUGUUCAAGAUCGCAGUAUGGCAUUUCGAGUCUCACUAGAUUUUCUGGGCAAAAGUUCGGUGGUAAAGAUCUUUGAGGGAAACCGUGCCAAUAAAAAAUCUUCAAAGUAUCUGGUAGAGUUACAAUAGACGAUGCAACUCUGGACCCAUAAGAUAAAUAAUCAAAGAGCAUAAACAUCCUAAGAUUAUCCAUCUUUUCGAAUGUUUGUCCAUGUACUAUAACUUCUUUUAUUUCCCGCAAAUUUAGUAAGAUACCCUGAAUUGCAUCUGACCCCUAAAAGUAAAUCAAUGUAAAAAAUAAAUAAACAUGAAAUAUUCCAUAAUGUUUAGUAACAACUAAGUGGUUUACAAUUUAAGAAAAGUAAAAACAUACCUUGUUCUUUUUUAAAACCUCAAGACUUUCCUCACCCUUGAACAACCGACUACGUUUUCCAGGAUAAUGAGGACACUCUUGACGAACAAUUUCUUGACCCAUUUCUUGUAUUAGAUCGUGCAUUUCAAUUAUACCAUGAGAGAUAGAUAUUAGACAUCUGUCUUUGAGAAUAUCCAUUCCAAUCUUAGAAGAAAAACCACAGUCAUCUAAUCUUUCUUGUACCACACUCUCCUCGUCUCCCCUAUAAAAGCAUGCGAUGUCAAGAAAUAUAUUCUUCUCCUCCUCAUCAAGCCCAUCAUAACUUAAUUUUAAUACACUAAAAAUUUUAAGAUGUUGGCAUUUUUUCAACUUUUGUAACUCACUUUCCCAUGCUUCUCUUGUUCUGCCAUAAAGUAAUGAGCCCAAAAUUUGGAGAGCUAAUGGAAUUCCUUUGGCAUAUCUCAACACCUCUUCUACCAAGUCCAUGUACGUUGUUUCCUGUGAAGAGUUUUGUUUAAAAGCAUGUAAAGUAAAAAGUUUUAGAGAAUUGAGUUCAUUCAACUUCUCAACUUCGUAGAUGUCAUCAGCUCCAACAUUCUUUAACACUUGAAUGUCUCUACUGGUUAUAAUAAUUCUACUGCCUUGUCCAAAACUAUUACACCUUCCUAACAAUUGUUUAAGUUGAACCGAAUCAGUAACAUCAUCAAGAAUAAUAAGAAUCCUCACUUGUUUGAGUCUUUCACUGUAGUAUAAACUAGGAGAUGGUACUUCAUUUAGAAGCUCAGACAUAUAUUUUUUUCUGACAGUGUCUAUUCCAUCUCUUUCUAUUUUUUGUUGAGUGUCUAAAACAAGACUUCUGGAAUCAAAUUGCUUUGCAAAUGUGUGAUAUAUUUGUUCAGAAAUUGUAGUUUUUCCUAUUCCUCCCAUACCACAAAUUCCUAUGAUCCGAAUAUCUGAUGACUCAAAACGCAUCAAUAACCGAAUGCUUUCAAUAUGUUUUUCAAUGCCGAUAAUUCCUGGAUCAUAACUAAUGGAAUAAAGAUCCAAUUUUUUCAAAAUAUCUUUAACAAUUUCUUCAACAAGUGUGUUUUCUGACCUGACAGAUAAUUUGGAAAAUAAAAUUUUAGUAUUCAAGCACAAAGCUAAACUAAAGAAAAAUUCAGAAGAGUGAACAUCAUUGAAGAGAUGUUCAAAGUAAGUAUACGACAUUAUAUAUUAGCUUGGUUGGUUUAAGAAUUGAAAAUCAAGAUUGCAAAAGUUCUACAGUAACUGUUUGUGACUUUAAGAGAAAAGUGAUAUGAUCAAAUCCAUGACCCAUUGAGAAAAGGGGAAAAAAAGAGACGCUUGAAGUAUGAUAAGAUCAACAGAUUUUAGUAAAUGAAAAGAGAUUCUGUAUAUCUGAAAAGUGGAUGUAAGAAAUAUAUGACCUGAUAACGUUUGAAUCCCAACCGGAGAGUCCAGAAGCUUCGGUUAGAGCAUCCUUCCAUCUUUGCACUUUGUCCAUGUCGUCUUUAAACCGCUGUUCAUGCUCAUCGAAAGCUGCUUUGUAUCUUUCUUCCUGCUUCCUGACAGUUGAUGGAUCCACUUUGUAGAAAACAGGUAUCACAUCCCUUUCAUAUAUCUUCUUGCAGUGAAGUAUCUUAAUCAGUUCAUUCAAGCACCACGUGGAAGAUGCAUAGUUUUCGGAGAAAACGAGGACAUAGAUCUUUGAUUCUUCUAUCGCAGUUUGGAGUGCAGGCGAAAUUUCUUCGCCUCUUUGUAAUCUCUGAUCCAUAUAUGCUUCGAUGUGGUUCCUGUGCAGUGCGUCAUAAAGGUGACUGAUGAAAUUGUAACGCGUAUCUUCUCCUCUGAAGCUCAGAAACACAUCAUACUUAGUGGGAGAAGUGGGCAUAGCUAAUGACGAAGAACUCUCUGCCAUUGGAAUCAAUUUUCUCUCCUUUCUCUUACUGCAGCGGAAGAAGAGUGAGUUUGUAAACAGAAAAAUUAUUUUGAAAAGUUAGAAAGCUGCAAGACUAGAUUUUCUUAUGCUAAAUUCAUAACAUAAGGACAAACAAAUAAACCUUUUGAAAAAAAUGUAGUCAAAAGAAAAUAAAAAGCAUGAGUCAUCUAUUACAGCAAUUAGGCAAAAGAAAAUAUUUUUUUUAAAAAAAAGUAGUCAAAAGAAAAUAAAGCAUGUUUCAUCCACUACAAUAAAGCAUGAGUCAUCAUCCACUGCAGGCAAAAGACAAAUAUUCUGUCAAUAUAUACAAGUAGUGGAAAAAAUAAUAUAAAACGCAUUUAUAAAAGUAAAUAUUUUAAUUAACUUUUAUACUAUUAUAAUAAUAAAACAUUUAAAUAUAUUUACUAAUUUUAAAUAGGACUUUCAUGUUGUUUUAUAUAUCUGUAUUUAAUUUGUCUAAAAAAAACUCGCUUCGUUACAUGUCUCAUUAUUUAUCGGAUAAGAUGAAAAAUUAUUAUUUUUGUAUGUAAAUUCACUUACACUUUUUUUUUUUUACAUAGGAUUUUUUUGUGUGUAAUUGGUACAAACAUCUUAUCUUUAUCUCGAGACAAACCUAAUUUGUAGUUGGAACUAAAAAAAAUUAUUGUUAUCUACUAUCAAAAUUGUAAACUCAAAAAUUCAUAUGUAAAAAUAGACGAAAAGAUUCCAAUAUAAUUACGUAGGAAAAAAAUAUGUAUUUAAUUAUAUAUAUAAAAAAUUAUAUUUAAUUAUACACGAAAAAAUUUGUAUAUAAUUACUAUUUUUUAAAAAAAUUAAAAAUUAAUUAUUAAUAUAACAAAUUUAAUAUAGAUUAUUUUUUUUCUAUAACAUAAAAUUUAAUAGGAAAAAUAUUUUAAUUGUUUUAACUAUUUGUUAGCUGAAUUGUUUUAACUAGUUUUCUUGGGCUAUGAUAUCGUGAGGUUUUAUUACAUCUAGGUACGUGAAUUAUUAUUUCGAUUUAUUAGCUAUAUAAAUAUUUAAAUAUGGAAAGGAAUAUUUUGACAACCAGUUUUUAACAAUAUUGUAGCAGUUUAACAAAUAAUAAUAAAACAUUAAAAUAUAUUAUUUAAUUAAAUAUAAAUUAGAUUAUUAAAUAAAAAAAAUAGUAAUAGUUAUUUUAAUAAUAAACAAGUUUUGACGUAGGUAGUUUUGGAAAUUAUUUUAAUGGCUGAAAAUAAUAUUUGUAACAAUUUUUAACAACCACAAAUUACAUCUUGAAUAAUAAAAAUUAGCAUUAUUUAGUUGAUUUAUAAUAGAAUUUCAACAAAUAAAAUUAAAAAAUCUCCCGCAUUAAUAAUUUAUUUACCAUCUUUAUAUAAUUUAUUUUGACAAUAAAGACAUGUAAUUGAGAAUGAAUUUUUAAUUUAAAAAAAUCUGAAAAUCUUAUAUAUUAUAUACAUGAAUGGUUUUAUGCUUGGAAAAAUAAUAAUAAUAUACCAUAAUAUAUGCUAAAUAUGAAAGCCGAAUAUGCUAAAGAAGUUAAUGAAGCCCAUACAUUAAGAGUUUCAACAAAAUGCAAAUUUGGGACAACGGAGCAAGCAACUUACGUCCACAUCAAACUAUAUCUAAUAAGUUGUCAGCUACCUUUGAAAAUGUAAAUAAAAGAAAAUAAAUUAAAAAUGAGAAAUUCAUAAUAAAAGUUGAACGUUUUGAAACUUGUAAUUAACAAGUAUGGGUGAUAAGCCACAGUCACCAAGGGAAGACCAAUUAGCAGAAAAGCAAGAGACUAACCCACUAAGUAGCUUUAUGCCUUCCUCUUCCUAUCUUCCUUUGUUUCCUUUGAAGACUCUCCAACACUGCUUCCGCUUCUAUAAAGAGGGCACACUCCACAUUCUUUUAUUGUCAAUACUGUAAUAUAAUCUGGCCACAGAUUAUCAUAAUUACUUGUACAUAUACUGAUCUCAAAAGUGAAGCUGCGAGCAUCACUGAGCCUCCUAAGGUUCAUGCCUCUCCUCCUUAGGCUCUCCAAGUUAAAUUUCCACAUGAAUGUGUGAUCUUUAUCAAGGACUCUGUCACUUAAAUGCCAUGUGAAAUAGGUGUUUAACACAUCAUUAUUUGGAAUUAUCUGUGUGCCAUCAUCAUCACAUUCAAAUUUUAGGCUGUAAACAAAAGAACUGCAUCUGCCUUUAAUAUCAUUCGUAUCUAACACUUCAAAAACCACACACAAAGCGAAACCAAUGAGCCUAUCAUCGCUGCAGAAACUUAAAUCUUCAUUUAUAGUCAGUGAAGGUCCUUCGCUGCGAAAAGGAAACCAAUGAGGAACUGCAGUUCCUGGAAAACAGAAGCACACAGACUCAUAUGCAUCGUUGCUCAUCCUAAGCCUUGCAUCCUCCUCAAUGUUUGCACGACCACCUGAAUCCAGUUGUUGAGAAUUGGUCAAAUGAAAUCGGAAGAAACUGUCUUUGGAGUUUGAGAGGUUUCGCACAGGAGAAUUUGACAUCGCUCCUCUAAUGGAUGUGCAAUCCAAUGCCACCAGUUGAUUUAGGAAUGGGGGAAUAUGUGGAAUGCAUUCAAGCUUUUUGCAAUCGCUUAAAUCAAGCGAUUUCAAGCCUGAAAGAUGAGCCAUGCUCUCGGGAAGGUUCACGAUUCCACUAUUACUCAGUGACAGUUCCAUUAAUGAAGACAAGCUACCAAUGUGUGUUGGGAUUUCUGUUAAUUUGGCACACCCCGAACAAUCAAGUUUACAGAGAUGCUUUAGAUUAACAAUGGAGUUUGGAAGUGACUCGAGAUCAGUGCACCUGUUGAGCUUUAGGGAUCGAAGCUUAGCCAAAUUGCCUAAUGAGGAAGGGAGUUCUUUAACAGCCGUAUCUGUUAAGUUAAUUUGAGUAAAAGUUUGUGCCGGCUCCGUGAUCUCUGGGAAGGUUCUCAACUUAACGCAUUCACUCAAAUCAAGUUUCCUCAACUUCAAUUUGAAAAUGGUGCUUGGAAAAGUUUGAAGUGAUAGACAGUAGGCAAGGUCUAAUUUGCAUAGUCUGGUGAGCCUUCCAAUGCAAGAUGGAAUAAUCUCAAGAUUCCAGCAACGGCUCAAACUCAGUUCUUGAAGUCCUACCAAAUGCCACAAGGAUGAAGGUAGUGCCUGUAUGGCUGUCGCGUCUAAGAGGAGAACCGCUAAAUAUUCCAUCGUGUUCUCAAUCUCGGGGAAAUUUUUCAAUUUUGAGCAACCACUGAGACGAAGUUUGUUUAGGAAUUUAAUCUCAGAAAGGUCAAAUGGAAAGAUUGUAAGGGAAGAACAAUUUGAGAGAUCUAUUAUACAGAGCUUCUUGAGACUUUGAAAGUUUAAGGGCACACCUCCAGUGAGUUGUAUCGGCCUUUCAUCUACGUAUAUUUUAUUAUUAGUCACUUCUUCUUCUUCCUCAUAUCUCAUAAUAAUAAUUGAGAAAAUUUCAUUCCGAGAGCGUAUUGUUAAGGAACAACGAAAUUCAACACGAACACUCCUAACAAAGCAUCUUGGGAAAGCUCUACAUCCGUUUGACUGCCGUAUCAAAUGAGGGAAACUUGAGACAGUUACUGGUUGACCCUCCAGUUUCACGUGAGGGAAUGUGAGUUGACUGGUUGAAAACAUUUUAAGCUUGACACACCAGGAAAGAAGAAUGAAUCCUGGUGAUCUGUAUAGAAUAUUGCUCGGAACAAUUACACUAUUGAGAUCAUAACAUUUAUCUAAACGUAAAGAAGUGAGCUUGGUGAGUAAUAUGGAAGAGUGAACUUUAAUCAACUUUGAACAAUCAUUCAGAAUUAUUUCUUCAAUAUUUGGUGACAUGGAAAGGUCUGGUAUUCUAGUAAGUUUCUUAGAAUAACUCAAGUUGAGCCUUUUCAACUUUGGCAAACUCUGCCACAGAAAGGAAAUGAAUUAGGUAAUAAAGAAAAACUGAAAGAAAGUUUUUCUAAUAUGCUUACAACGUAUGCAAACUCAUCUCCAUAAUAUUGAUUUAUAAUUAUCUUUAAAAUCAUGAUAAUAUGGUUCUAAUAAUAUAUGUAUAAUUGUGGAGUUCUAAUAAAAGCAAUAUUAAAACGAAUAAUGUGAAGAAAGCACAAAGGAAUUACGAAAACAAGUAGAUGUACAAAGUAAAAAACAUGCUUCUAGAAUUUUUUUUUUUUUUUUAUUUUUAAAAGUCUAAAACACAAAGGAACAUAAAUAACGUGAAAAACCUGAUCUUCUUUCCACAGUUGUUCAAGAUGACAGCCUGGCAUUUCGAGUCUCACUAGAUUUUGUGGACAAAAAUUCGAUGACAAAGAUUUUUGAUGAAAACCAGUAAAGAAUCUUCAAAGUGUCUGGCAGACUUACUAGAGAUGACUCAAGAAACAAAUUUCGAUGCCAACAACUAGAAUAAGAAUAGAGCAUAAGCAUCCUAAGAUUGUUCAUCAUUUUGAAAGCUUCUCCAUGUACUUUAACUACUUCCAUUUCAUCUAUAUCUUGUAAUAUACAUUGUAUUGCAUCUGACCCCUGAAAGUAUCAAAGCAAUUAGGAAAAAGAAAACAUAAAUGUUGCAUUGCAAGCUAUUUAAUUACAUCUUAAUGGUUAGCAAUUUAUCAUAACAUAAAUCCAUGUGACUCUUUCAAUUGAACAUACCUUGUUAUUUCUUAAAAUCUCAUGAAUUUCGUUAGCCUUGAACAAUCGACUACGUUUUCCAGGAUGCUGAAGACACUCUUUACUAACAAUUUCUCGACCCAUUGCUUGUAUUAGAUCGUGCAUCACAAUUCUACCAUCCAAGAUAGAUAUGAGGCAUUUAUCUUUGAGAACAUCCAUUCCAAUCUUAGAAGAGAAACCACAGUCACUUAGUGUUUCUCCUACCACAAUCUCGUUGUGUCCUUUAUAAAAGCAAGCGAUGUCAAGAAAUAUAUUUUUCUCCUCUUCACGGAGCCCAUCAUAACUUAAUUUUAAUAUGUUGAAAAUAUCAUGAUCUUGACACUUCUCCAAGUUUUGCAACUGACUUUCCCAUGCUUCUCUUUGUCUGCCAUAUAACAAUGAACCCAAAAUUUGGAGAGCUAACGGAACCCCUUUUGCAUAUCUCAACAUCUUUACUGACAAGUCCAUGUAAGUGAUUUCUUCUGAAGAAUUUUGUUUAAAAGCAUGUAAGUUAAAAAGUUUUAGAGAAUCAUGAAAAAUCAACUCCUUAAGUUCGUAGAUAUCAUCAGCCCCAGCAUUCUUUAGCACUUGUCUAUCUCUACUGGUCAUAAUGAUUCUACUGCCUUUCCCAAAGCUACGCUCUCUCAUUACUUUGCUAAGUAUAGUUGAAUCGGUCACAUCAUCAAGAAUGAGGAGGGCCUUUGUCCGUUUGAUCCGUUCAUUGUAAUGUGAUAAAUGGGAUGGUGCUUCCUUUAGAAGUUCAGACUGAUAUUUUAUUAUGAUGUCGUGUAUUCCCUCUCUUUGUAGUUUUUCUUGAACAUCUAAAAUAAGGCUAUGUGAAUCAAAAUGCAUUGCAAAUUUGUGAUAUAAUUGCUUAGAAAUUGUAGUUUUUCCUAUUCCUCCUAUGCCACAAAUUCCUAUGAUCCGAGUAUUCUCUGACUCAAGACGCAACAAAAACCGAAUUUCUUCAAUAUGUUUUUCAAUGCCGAUGAUUCCUUGAUUGUAACUGAUAGAAUAAGGAUUCAAUUUUUUCAAAAUAUCUUCUAUAAUUUCUUCAACAAGAGCGUGUUCUGACCUGACCAAUAAUUUAUAAAAUAAAAUAUAAAUAUUCAAGCAUAAAAAUAACUAAAUUAAAAAAAUAUGAAAGAGUAAAAAGAGUGAAGGAUCAUUGAAUUUAUUUGUUUAUGGAUUUAAGUUUUGAGUUGUAGAUAAAAUAAAUAAAUAAAAUAUCUAAUAAAUUAAAAGAAUUUAAUGAAAGGAUUUGAUCUUAUCUGAAAAGUGGAUGUAAGAGAUAUAAUGACCUGAUAACUUUUGAAUCCCAGCCGGAGAGUCCAGCAGCUUCUGUUAGAGCAUCCUUCCAUCUUUGCACUUUGCUGAUGUCUUCCUUAAACUGCUGUUCAUGCUCUUCGAAUGCUUCUUUGUAUCUCUCUUCCUGUUUCCUGACAGUUGCUGGAUCCACCUUGUAGAAAACUGGUAUCACAUUCCUUCCAUAUCUAUUCUUACAAUCCAGUAUCUUAGUCAGUUCAUUCAAACACCACUUUGAAGAUGCAUAGUUUUCAGAGAAAACCACGACAUAGAUCUUUGAUUCUUCUAUUGCAGUUUGAAUUGCAGGUGAAAUUUCUUCACACCUUUGUAGUUCGUAAUCAAUAUAUGCUUCAAUGUGCUUCCUCUGCAGCGCUCCAUAAAGGUGACUAAUGAAGUUUUCACAAGUGUCUUCUCUUCUGAAGUUUAAAAACACAUCGUAUCUAGUUACAGAAGUAGGCAUGACGAAUGAUGAUGAACUUCCUGACAUUGAAAUCGAUUCUCUCCUUUCUCUACAACUCUCAAGGCUCUUUGUUUCUAAAAAUUUGUAUACUAUCAAUUUAGAAACGAAAGUAUAUAUUUAUAUCAUUUCUACCCAAAGUCAACUCCNCUGCUCUUUNUUCUUUUGUUUCUUCGUAUAACCGUAANACCAAAGCNUUUUUCNUUUGUUUCUUCGUAUAAUCGUAAAGCCAAAGCUUUUUUCUGUUGUUUCUUCCUAGAACCGUAAAGCCAAAGCUUUUUUCUUUUGUUUCUUCGUAUAACCAUGAAGCCAAAGCUUUUUGCUGUUGUUUCUUCGUAGAAACGUAAAGCCAAAGCUUUUUUCUUUUGUUUCUUCGUGUAACCGUGAAACCAAAGCUUUUUUUCCUUAUUUUUUUUUCUUUCCUUUAUAAGUCAAACCAGAAGACAGGACUGAUUUGUUAUAAGUAACUAAAGAAUUAAUUUUUUUUAUAUGACUAAUGUGAAAUAUUAUAAAAUGUUUAUUAUUAUUAUUAUUAUUAUUAUUAUUAUUAUUAUGAUAAUGAUGAUGAGAAGUCAUAAUAAUAAAAAAAAUCUUAAUCAAUGUUUUGUUAAUAAAAGGGAUAAAGGAUUUGUUUCUGGUUUGACCAUAAAGUUCUUAAAAAAAAUGAGAGGAGAAAGAAAUAUAAAAAGAUAAUUAGAAAAACGAAGUUAAAAAAUAAGAGAAAUUGAAAAAUAUAUUUUCAUUGGAUUUUUCAUAAAUCAAUAUAAAAUACACUAUUAUGAUUUAUUCAUGUUAAUAGGUGAGAAACAUGAAUCUUAAUUUUAUAAAGUAAUUUUGAAAAAUAAACUAAUAACUUAAGAAAACUACAACUUAUAGCCUACAUAUAAUAUCAAAGAUUUAUGAUUGUCUCUUGUUAUGAUUUUUAUUUUCUAAUGAAGAUAAACUCUAUUAUAAAUUUAGGAAUUGCUCUAUAAAAUUAACAUGAACCUUAAUUUAUGUUUUUCUUUAAAUUUAUUUAUGAACCUAAUUAUUAAAUUUAGAGAUUUUAUGUAUCCGCUGCAAUUUCGCUUGUGGCAUGAAUAAUGGAUUAAAAUAAUUAAAAAAUUGACACUGUUACCUUACCUUACUUGAAUUGGAUGAAGACCAAUGAUGCAUAAAUCGAAAGGGUACAAUUGCAGAUUGAUCCAUCCUAAAGCAUCUGUUACUGUUACGGGUUUUAACAAACUAAAUAUUUUAAUUACAAAUUAGAUUAUUGUUCAUAAUUUGGAUUUCCAAUAAGAGUUAAUGUUGAAUUAAUUGCUUAGUUUUCUGAAAGUACUGGAAGUGUACAGUUUGCAUUGUAUACUUCAUGCAAUUAAUGAGAAUGCUAUGGUUAAUAACAAUUAAAAAGUAUUAUUUAUUUGAUAUAAAGCAUGAUGAAUUUUGUUUGUUAUUAAACUGGUCAAAAUUUUAAAAUUAUUUAAUUUUAAAUUAUUAAUAUUUUUAUUUCAAUUCUUCAUAAUAUAUAACCAUCCUCAAAUAAUAUUCUCUAAUGGGUAACAAACAUGCAUAACGCGACAGUUUUUAGAAGUUUGCUGACUCAAUAACUGAUAAUGAAUAAAAUCAUUCUACCCUGUGAACUUGUGAGUUAUUUGGACCUCUCCUGUUAAUGAUAGUAGUAGCUGGAGGAGUUAGUGCAACAUUGAAUUGCAAGAGUGGAGAAUCGAGUCUUCUUUCUCUACAUUUUAGGAAUAAUCGAUUUUCAUAUUCUCGUAUUUUUGUUAGCUGCACAGUGAUAUCGUCAGUGAUUUUGUGUGCUUGUAGUGGUUAGUUGUGUGAGGUUGAUGAGCUUGAUCCUGCUGGCGGUGCAGGUGCCCCAUUGAUGGCUGCACAUGGUGGUUGUGAUUCGAAGGUUAAAAAGGAACCACUGUGUUAAAAAAAAUUAAGAACAUAGUUAACUCUUACAAAGAUUUUGGAACAGCUAAGGGUAUUAAUAUUUAACAAUUUAUUUUCCACUUUUUUAUAAUUUAUUUUUACAAUAAAGAUAUGUAAUUGAGAUUGAUUUUUUAAUUUACACUUUAUUUUUGUAAAGAAUAAUGGAUUUCAUAUAAUUUUAUUAUUAGAUAUUUUUAUAGCGUUGAAAAAAAUCGUAUAUAUAUUAUAUAAAUUCAAAUAAAUUGUCUUCAACGUUAUGGUCAAACUACGUUAUAAAAAAUUAGCCAUCAUCCACCAACAACUUUUAUAAGUCAUCACUCAAAUGAAAGAAGAUGCCUGAAAGUGAAUAAACGAAGAUCAACAACAAAUAACUUCUUAUCAUCUUGAGUCUUCCACGUUAACCAAGCAAACACAUAUCAUAUUCAAUUGGCAUGAACACUAAGAUCUCAUAAUGCCUUUGCUGCAAAUGAAAGCCAAAUAUGCUAAAGAAGUUAACGAAGCCCAUACAUUAAGAGUUUCAACAAAAUGCAAAUUUGGGACAACGGAGCAAGCAACUUACGUCCACAUCAAACUAUAUCUUAGAAAUCUUGUCAACUACUGAAGGAACCCACCUGCAAAAUGCCAUUGAAAAUGUAAAUAAAAUAGAAAUUAAAAAUGAAAAAUUCAUAAUAAAAGUUGAACGUUUUGAAACUUGUAAUUAACAAAUAUCGGUGAUAAGCCACACUCACCAACUGAAGACCAAUUAGCAGAAAAGCAAGAGACUAGCCCACUAUAAGUAGCUUUCUGCCUUCCUCUUCCUUUGUUUCCAUUGAAGACUCUCCAACAUUGCUUCCUUUCUAUAACAGAAAACUGAUAGUUUUGUCUCCAUGCACAAACCUAACACAAUGAUUUGAUAUUCAAUUAACAUUAAUUGGCAUAAACUGAGAAUACGAGGCUCCAUAGGAUGCAGAAAAAUUGAUUUACGAAUUACCCUUUCAAAUGCAGCUCGUCAAGAUUUUUUAAUGUCUGUACUGCAAAUGCAACCCAAAUAUGCUAAAGAAGUUAAUCAAACAGAUAUAUGAAGACUUUCAAGAAAAUGCAGCUCUGGAACAAGAGAGCAAUCCACCCUGUUUCGACACAGAAACAUCAACCUAUCUCCAACGAUAAUUUAGCAAUUUUGUUGAAUGAACCCACCUGUAAAACGCCAUUGAAAAUUUAAAUAAAACAAAACAAAUUAAAAAUGAGAAAUUCAUAACAAAGUUUUAACGUUUUGAAAAUUGUAAUUAAAGAAUAUUGGUCAUAAACCACUCAGGUAAUUAUCGUUUUCACUUUUUGCUGCCAAAUAACUGCACAACGAGACAUUAGCCCCAGAUCGUUUCAUGAGAAAAUUUUCUGAUCAAACAGAAUCUAAAUUAAGUUUUGUGAGUAUGAAGUGUUUGGUUGAAAGUACGUACCCGCCGAGCCCCAUGGAGAUGGCGCCGGCGGCGACUUCGGCUAUGCCAGCGGUGAGAACGAUGGAGGAGGUGGCAUUGGCGCCGGAGAGGCCGGCGGCGAGGGCGAAGGGGACGGUGAGGCCAUCGGAAACGCCAAUGAUGAUGUCGCGGACUAUUUCGCCGGCGGUGAAGUGCUUCUCGGUGUGUUGGCUGAGAAGGCUCUUUCUCUCAGGUUCGACUCUUAUUCCGUGUUCGGCGGCGGCCAUUGGUGCAAUCUUGUGAAUGUGUUUGAGCUGGCGAAUGUACUAUUGAAUCCAAACAAAGCCUUGCU
rnacentral:lncRNA from 1 species